rnacentral:rRNA from 1 species
GGCACUACGGUGCUGAAGCAACAAAUGCCCUGCUUCCAGGAAAAGCCUCUAAGCAUCAGGUAACAUCAAAUCGUACCCCAAACCGACACAGGUGGUCAGGUAGAGAAUACCAAGGCGCUUGAGAGAACUCGGGUGAAGGAACUAGGCAAAAUGGUGCCGUAACUUCGGGAGAAGGCACGCUGAUAUGUAGGUGAAGUCCCUCGCGGAUGGAGCUGAAAUCAGUCGAAGAUACCAGCUGGCUGCAACUGUUUAUUAAAAACACAGCACUGUGCAAACACGAAAGUGGACGUAUACGGUGUGACGCCUGCCCGGUGCCGGAAGGUUAAUUGAUGGGGUUAGCGGUAACGCGAAGCUCUUGAUCGAAGCCCCGGUAAACGGCGGCCGUAACUAUAACGGUCCUAAGGUAGCGAAAUUCCUUGUCGGGUAAGUUCCGACCUGCACGAAUGGCGUAAUGAUGGCCAGGCUGUCUCCACCCGAGACUCAGUGAAAUUGAACUCGCUGUGAAGAUGCAGUGUACCCGCGGCAAGACGGAAAGACCCCGUGAACCUUUACUAUAGCUUGACACUGAACAUUGAGCCUUGAUGUGUAGGAUAGGUGGGAGGCUUUGAAGUGUGGACGCCAGUCUGCAUGGAGCCGGCCUUGAAAUACCACCCUUUAAUGUUUGAUGUUCUAACGUUGGCCCCUGAUCGGGGUUGCGGACAGUGUCUGGUGGGUAGUUUGACUGGGGCGGUCUCCUCCUAAAGAGUAACGGAGGAGCACGAAGGUUGGCUAAUCCUGGUCGGACAUCAGGAGGUUAGUGCAAUGGCAUAAGCCAGCUUGACUGCGAGCGUGACGGCGCGAGCAGGUGCGAAAGCAGGUCAUAGUGAUCCGGUGGUUCUGAAUGGAAGGGCCAUCGCUCAACGGAUAAAAGGUACUCCGGGGAUAACAGGCUGAUACCGCCCAAGAGUUCAUAUCGACGGCGGUGUUUGGCACCUCGAUGUCGGCUCAUCACAUCCUGGGGCUGAAGUAGGUCCCAAGGGUAUGGCUGUUCGCCAUUUAAAGUGGUACGCGAGCUGGGUUUAGAACGUCGUGAGACAGUUCGGUCCCUAUCUGCCGUGGGCGCUGGAGAACUGAGGGGGGCUGCUCCUAGUACGAGAGGACCGGAGUGGACGCAUCACUGGUGUUCGGGUUGUCAUGCCAAUGGCACUGCCCGGUAGCUAAAUGCGGAAGAGAUAAGUGCUGAAAGCAUCUAAGCACGAAACUUGCCCCGAGAUGAGUUCUCCCUGACUCCUUGAGAGUCCUGAAGGAACGUUGAAGACGACGACGUUGAUAGGCCGGGUGUGUAAGCGCAGCGAUGCGUUGAGCUAACCGGUACUAAUGAACCGUGAGGCUUAACCUU